GGAGAAAUUGGCCUUAGC
rnacentral:siRNA from 1 species